ACUACGGCUUCAUACACAUGCCCAGUGUUGCACCAGUAGGCAAAAGAUAAAACACUUUUUUGUGCUGGCUGAUUCAGAAAAUGCAGACUGCAUGCCGUUUGUCGGAACAAGCACAACAUGCAUCACUCAGGUGCAGUGCAUCAGGCUGUGUGGGCGAUGUAAUUUAAAUGCAAAUUCUCAGCCGUGGACAAGGACCUGCUCAAGGCCUCAAGACAGCAUCGAUUCACAAAGCGAAUCUCUGUGUGAUGCCAAAUACUACCAAGCAGUGAUUUAUAUAAACCUUUACAGUACUGUUUUAACUGGGCCAUGACUGUAUGCAUUAACACAUAGUGUGUCAGCAGUAUAAACCAAAGAAGCUGUAUUAAACUUAAAAAUGCCUGCAGGUAAGUCAUUUAUUUAUUUACAAAGAAUAUACAGUAGAUAGUAGAAUUAAGGUAUGUGAGAUUUUGUGUAGUUUUGUUUGUACUGCAUAGUGUUAAUAAUGUUAAAUCAGUGUAAUCAGCUUUUAAAAAGAAGCUAUACAAGGGCUAAUUGCCAACACUUGUGUACUUGUAUCAGACCUCAGUAUCUGAGUUUGUUGGACUCUAAUGUGAGUUAAUGAUUAUGGUAAUUAGGUUCAUCUUAUCUACUCAAUAUCUAAUCGUAGUACUUUUAACGGGCAUAUUUAACAGAAAUUCAGGAAAAACAUAAACACUUCAACAUAAACAUUAACUGCAUGACUUGUUGUAUGAAAUGUAAAAUAUGAAAGCUAUUCACUAAUUUCCCACCAUAAUUAUAGAUAGUGAUGUAUAUAUAUAUAUAUAUAUAUAUAUAUUUA